UACGUAGGUGGCAAGCGUUGUCCGGAAUUAUUGGGCGUAAAGCGCGCGCAGGCGGUCCUUUAAGUCUGAUGUGAAAGCCCACGGCUCAACCGUGGAGGGUCAUUGGAAACUGGGGGACUUGAGUGCAGGAGAGAAGAGUGGAAUUCCACGUGUAGCGGUGAAAUGCGUAGAGAUGUGGAGGAACACCAGUGGCGAAGGCGGCAUCCUGGACCGAGAUUGACGCUGAGGCGCGAAAGCUAGGGUAGCAAACGGG
rnacentral:rRNA from 1 species